GAGAGCUUAGCAUGACAGCACUGGACCAGAACAUCAGGCCACUGUGGUCUGUGGGGUCUGGACCCUGGUGAAUGUCAUUGCAGAGAAGUGCCUGAAGCAGUACAGCAGAUACAGUGGAACUGGCAAACUGCAUUCCCUCCUGCCCCAAGGAUCACAAGCUGAAUUAUCCUGGGACCACCGGAAAUGUGGUUUAUUUGUCCUCAGGUUAGUGGAAGGUUCCAUGUUGGUGAAAAUGGGUAUUUGUCUAGUUGAAGAGAAAUGGAGAUGAACUCUGCAGGCUGACUUACUUCAUCAGUGGAAACAGUUCAGGGAUGAAAUAGCAAGAUGAAAAAGUCAGAUGGAACUGUGGGGCCAUGUGUAGGGCUGGCCAUCCAAGGACCCGGCUCCCAGCCCAGACUGUAUACCUGACUAUCUGAGCCCUUUUCUUCCUUGCUUCCUCAUCUGUUCAGUGGGGACGUUGGACUAGAAGAUCGCCAAGAUCCAUUUCAGCUUGAAAAUGCCAUUAUUCUAACAUCUUCACGCUUUGAUAAGGAAACGCAUAAUAGCCUUGGGUUUAUUAAUAUUAACUGGGGCAAACAAGUGACAUUCCUUUAGGAAAACAGAGAUGUCAUUUUUGCUUGGAGCCAAAUUUGUCUUAUGAGACCUGAGCUAAAUAUCAGUGAUCUGCUGGUGGUUCCUCGGCAGAACCCACGAAUGCUCCACGGUGCCAAGGAUGUGACUUCUUCACAGAUAAGUGAAACUGAGACACAGCAGAGCAUCAGUGAAGGAAAAUGAAUUCAGUCACAUCCAGCUGGCAUCUUUCAUCCACCCUUUCCCCACUUGAUCGUUGUGCUGGGCUCAAAGACCACCCUUCUCAAGACGGUACUUUCUGGUCUCAGUCAGAGGGACAGGUGGUGCAGACUCACAGGAGAACUCAUGCCCUGGAUAUACUUUUCAUUGACAGUCUGGGGCUCAGCCUGGCUUGUGUGACUUGGCUUAUGCGACUUGAGCUACAGUGAAGACUCUUUCCACCAAGCACAAUGUUUUAUGUAUGUGGGGUUGGU